ACGGGUGAGUAAUACGUAGGAAUCUGCCCUAGAGUGGGGAAUAACCCGGGGAAACUCGGGCUAAUACCGCAUACCCUCAGUAUCGAAAGAUAUUGAGUAAAGGUGUCUGGUUAUUUCGGUAAUCAGGUAUCGCUUUAGGAUGAGCCUACGUCAGAUUAGCUAGUUGGUAGGGUAAAGGCCUACCAAGGCAACAAUCUGUAGCUGGUCUGAGAGGACGACCAGCCACACUGGGACUGAGAUACGGCCCAGACUCCUACGGGAGGCAGCAGUGGGGAAUAUUGGACAAUGGGCGAAAGCCUGAUCCAGCAAUGCCGUGUGUGCGAUGAAGGCCUGCGGGUUGUAAAGCACUUUCAGUGGGGAAGAAAUGCUCAAAGCUAAUAUCUUUGAGAGUUGACGUUACCCAAAGAAGAAGCACCGGCUAACUCUGUGCCAGCAGCCGCGGUAAUACAGAGGGUGCAAGCGUUAAUCGGAGUUACUGGGCGUAAAGGGCGCGUAGGUGGAUAUUUUAGUCGGGUGUGAAAUCCCUGGGCCCAACCUGGGAAUUGCAUUCGAUACUGGAUAUCUAGAGUAUGGUAGAGGAA
rnacentral:rRNA from 1 species